rnacentral:lncRNA from 1 species
ACAUUAUCUUUUACCAUUUCCAAUGAGAUCUUUUUAAAUAUUUAUAAAUGUUUUUGGCAAACUAUCCAUAUUUGUAAAUGCUUUGGGUGAAAUCAAGGGCUCACGUAGACUUUAAAUAUGUCAUAAAGUUGCUUCUUAAAGUUUUGCCAAGCUGGCGAGAUGGCUCAGAGGGUAAGAGCAUUGACUGCUUUUUUGAAGGUCCUGAGUUCAAAUCCCAUCAACCACAUGGUGGCUCACAACCACCCGUAAUGAGACCUGACACCCUCUUCUAGUGCAUCUGAAGACAGCUUCAAUGUACUUACUUAAUAAUAAAUCUUAAAAAAAAAAAAAAGCUGGGCAGUGGUGGUGCACACCUUUAAUCCCAGACUUGGGAGGCAGAGGCAGGCAGAUUUCUGAGUUCGAGGCCAGCCUGGUCUACAGAGUGAGUUCCAGGACAGCCAGGGUUACACAGAGUAACCCUGUCUCGAAAAACCAAAAAAAAAAAAAAAAAGUUUUGCCAAAAAUGUUAGGAAUUAAGAUUUUUAAACAUUACAUGCAGGGCAGCAGGUAAGAGCACUAUCUGCUCUUCCAGAGGUCCUGAGUUCAAUUCCCAGCAAGCACAUGGUAGCUCACAUCUAUAAUGGGAUCUGAUGCCCUUUUCUGGUGUGUCUGAAGAUAGCAACAGUGUACUCAUAGACAUAAAAUAAUCUUUUGAAAAGUUACUUUGAGUCACCCAUAAUCUCCUACAGACCUUUCUUACCACUGGUCAGAUCAACCUCUUAGAGUUAAUAAAGAGAUGUGGUUAGGAGUUUGAGACCAGAUCCCUUUGCCUGUUAUCAGGGCCCCUGGACAGCACAGCUCUUUUUUUUUUUAAUGUUUAUGGACAUUUUUUAUUAGAUAUUUUCUUCAUUUACAUUACAAAUGCUCUCCUGAAAGUCCCCUAUACUCUCCCCCUGCCCUGCUCCCCAACCCACCCACUCUCACUUCCUGGCCCUGGCAUUCCCCUGUACUAGGGCAUAUAAUCUUCACAAGACCAAGGACCUCUCCUCCCAAUGAUGGCCAACUAGGCCAUCCUCUGCUACAUAUACAACUAGAGACACAAGCUCAGGGGGGUACUGGUUAGUUCAUAUUGUUGUUCCUCCUAUAGGGCUGCAGACCCUUUAGCUCCUUGGGUACUUUCUCUAGCUCCUUCAUUGGGGGUCCUGUGUUCCAUCUUAUAGAUGACUGUGAGCAUCCACUUUCUGUAUUUGCCAGGCACUGGCAUAGCCUCACAAGAGAUAGCUAUAUCAGGGUCCUAUCAGCAAAAUCUUGUUGGCAUAUGCAAUAGUGUCUGGGUUUGGUGGUUGUUUAUGGGAUGGAUCUGGGGGGGGGGUAAGAGGAGCAGUCUCUAGACGGUCAUUCCUUCUGUCUCAGCUCCUCACUUUGUCUCUGUAACUCCUUCCAUGGGUAUUUUGUUCCCCAUAGAGUACUACUCAGCUAUUAAAAACAAUAAAUUUAUGAAAUUCUUAAGCAAAUGGAUGGAUCUGGAGGAUAUCCUCCUGAGCGAGGUAACCCAAUCACAAAAGAACACACAUGAUAUGCACUCACUGAUAAGUGGAUAUUAGCCCAGAAACUUAGAAUACCCAAAAAUACAAUUUGCAAAACACAUGAAACUCAAGAAGGAAGACCAAAGUGUGGACAGCACAGCUCUUACAAGCUUUGACCACUGAGCAUCUGACUUGUUGAUGAAAGGGGAUACAAUAUAGUAGGGAAGAGACCCCAAACCCACCCCCAGGACACAGGAUAACUUGACCCCAGAUCAAGGCAAAACCAGGCAGGACCUUUGACCUCUUUGCUACCUCUUCAGCCUGAAGCUCCGUCUUUUCUCCGCAUCUAGUGGUUUUCUCCUUUUCCUACCUAUUUCAGCCUGUCCACCACUGUGCUAGCUAGUUUUUUGAUGUGACACAGGCUAGACUCCCCUGGGAAAGGGACCUCAGUUGAGAAAAUGUCUCUUAUCAGAUUGGUCUGUGGCAUGUUUACUUGGGAAUGCCCAACCCAUCUGGGCAGUGCCACCCCUGGAAAGGUGGUCCGGGGUUAGAUAAAAGCAAUCAGGCUGACCAAGCCAAGGGAAGCAAGCAAGUAAGCAGCAUUUCUCCAUGGCUUUUGUUUCUCUUCCUGCCUGGAGGUCCUGCCCUGACUUCCCUUGAUGAUGUGCUGUGCUGAGCGAACAUAAGCCAAACAAACGCUUUAUUAC